AAAGCAGGGAUUGUGUGUAUCGGUGCAUUGUGUCCGAAAGAGUUCCCUGCAACAUGGAUCUGGGGAAGGUGGGCAGUUCGUUAGUUCUAUUGAAACUUUUAACAAUCAUCUUCUCCACAUUU